CAGGCCAGGACAUAUUGGCAGGAAGGGAAGGGCUGCUAUUUAGGUAGACAGGAAGAAAUAUUUGACCAGAAACUUAAAUGAAAUAAGGCCAAGCCAAGAUUCUCCCCGGGUGAAGAGUAUUUGGGCAGAGAGAUGAGCAAGAGUUCAAAAGUGCUGCCUGCAGGCGUGAACUGGUGCAGGAGCAAGAUGAAGCAGGGAUGCUGGUGCAGCCAUGAGCUUUUGCAGGAGGGUAUUGUCACACCUCAAAGCGUAGCGAAGGAACAGCACAGAUUCCAGCAUGUAUGGAGGGGGCCAAGUAGUAGUAGGGCUGGGUGGGCGGUGUUGUGGGCUGGGUGAGGAUUUGAAUUCCCAUAUGCGCAAGGAACAAGGCAGAACAGCACAGAGAGUGCUCUAGAGCCCACCCACCCCAAGUCUCAUCCUGACUCUCCACCUCUGAACCUAUGACUUGGGGAAGUCCCUUGCCCUUUCUCUCCAGGGGUCGUAGAUGUAAGAUGUAGAUCCCAGGAGAACCUGCCGAAGGGUGGUUGUGAGGGUUAAAUGAGCUGAUCUGUGUAAACAUCACUUAGCAUGUAAUAAGAGCUAUAAAAAUAAGUAUUUGGUUCUUAUUAUAUGGAAACUCCCUGGGAUGUUAGGAGGAAGAGUACCAAUAACUUGCUUAAAUUACUCCUUGGAAGGUUCCCUCCAUUUUCUGUGGAAUGGACCAUAGGGUGGCAAGAGUGGGAUUAGGGGGCCAGAGGUCAGCAGUUGAGACUGGAGUGAUGGUGGCUUAGUCCAAGGAGGUCAUGGUGGGUACGCUGGAAGUCAGCAGCUUGAAGUUGAACUUGGAAAGGAAAAUCAAUGGGAUUUGUUAUUGGUUUUGCAUGUGAGAUACAAGUUGAAAAGAGGGAGUAGUGAUGUCUCCCAGAAUUUUGUCUCAGCAAAUGAGUGAUGGGUGGCUCCAUUUUACUGAUACGGAGAACUUUGGGGGAAGAGAUUUUUGUUUCUUGGAUGAGUGGGGUCUUUUUUGUUGGGAGGGUGUGUUAGUCAGCUUUUCAUCACUGUGACCAAAAGAUCAGACAAGAAUAACUUGGAGGAGGAAAAGUCCACUUUGGCUCACAGUUUCAAUCUCAGUCCGUGGUCAGCCGACUCCGUUGCUCUGGGCCUGAUGCAGUGAUGGAACAUCGUGGCAGAAGAACAUGGAUAAGGAAAGCCACCAGCUCAUGGCAGCCCAGAAGCAGAGUGAGAGGGAGGCAUCAGGGACAAACUGUAAACCCAAAGUCCUGUCUGCCCUGUGGCCUACUUCCUCCAGCCAUGCCCUACCUGCCUACAGUUACACCCAGUACAGUGGUCCUUUCAUUAUUAAUCCAUCAAAUGCAUUAAUCCACUGAUUAGGUUAUGGCUCUCACAAUCUAACUCUGCAUUUUAGGGGUGCAGGGGACCUCAUAUCCAAACUACAUCAGAGGGGCAUUCACAAAUAUUAAGAGAAGAAAGUUCAAACAAUAUGAGAAACUCAAAAAUUUAAUGCUGACAAUUACAAAUUGGAAGAAAAGGGGGAAAUAUCUGAAGAAACAUAUGUAGUCACAGGGCAAUAAUUUAAGGAGCUCAGAUUUAUUCUUUGAAGUCAGAAAUACAUACAAUGACAUAGAUCUAUAGUAUGCAUGUACCAAUAUCACUUUCCUAGUUCGGUUAUUGUACUAUUGGUAAGAAAGACGUAACCAUCGGGGGAAACCUAGAGGAGGGCACUUGGGACCCCUCUGCACUGUCUUUGCAAAUUCAUGAGAAUCUAUCAUUAUUUCAAAAUCAAAUAUUUUAAAUAUUAGUCUUGCUCUUGAGAAGGAAGUAAGGACAAAUCUUUUAGAGGUUUCAGUUAACUAUAAGACAGUGUGAAUUGAAACGGUGAUGUGGUUGAUAAACUAUGGUGGAUGUGGCUAGGAUUAAUGAAGUAUAAAAUUCUUAAGGGUGUCUAUGGAAGAACCACUUCAUUUUGCCUGGGUCGAUCCACAUCUGACGUGGUAAGUUCAUUUCUGGGUGCCACACUUUCAGACUGACAAGCACUGAAUGACAGCUAUUCAAGACACUCAGAACUGGGCAGCCCUGUCACGUGGGAAUCAUUGAGGAGGUGAAGAUAUUUAGCCAAGAAAAUUGCAUAGCAGCUGUCUUCAGACACUUGACAAACUAUCAUUUGGGAAUCAAAUUUAGAUGAGUCUUUGACAUCCCUUUAACUGCCACAAACUUCUACUUUCUUGUCACAAAAUACCAGAAGUAUUUUUUAAGAACAUUUGCUGAAAUAAUUUUAGCCACAUCAAAACCUCUGAUUUAAAAACAACUGAAGCAGAAUAAACUAGGAACAUCAAAAUUUUCUCCCAACUGAAUCUUAACUGUUACUUCAUUUGGUCUGAGAUUGAGUCACUAACUUUAAGGAGGCUCUGCCUUAUUGCCAACCACCUUCAGCUGUCCCUUUUUGCAGUGGUCUCAAGAGUGAUUGGUCAGGUCUAUCUUUUACUUAAGAGUCAGAGGCCUAUCAGCCUUUGAUAUGAGACCAGGAAGAAGUUCUAAUUAAAUAUUUGCCUUAACUAGCAAAGAGGAAGACACACACCCUCCCUGUUUUCCCAUUUAAUGUACAGAUGGAAAGAAAGAUGGAUUUAGGCCAGGUGUGGUGGUGCAUACCUGUAGUCUCAGCGACUUGGGAAGCUGAGACAGGAGGAUCACAAGUUCAAAGCCAGCCUCAGCAAUUUAGCAAGGCCCUAAGCAACUCAGCAAGACCCUGUCCCAAAAUUAAAAAGAACUGAGAAUGUGGCUCAGUGGUUAAGCACCCCUGGGUUAAGGGAUUCAAUUCUACAAAGCUAAUAUUGCUACUUCCUAAUAUUAAUUUUUAUUAUGUACAGAAAUGAAGAUUAGAAAAAAUAAAUUAUUUGUCACUUUGCUACAAUAAAAGGUUAUUAAAAGCUUGAUAAUAAAACCCAAUGAAAAUACCUUGCAGACACUAAUUUUCAUAUCCCAAUUGCAAUGAAGACCUUCAUUGAGCAGCCUCACGAUUGUGUACCCACUUAUAUUGCUAUCAAAUUUUGUAUGACUGUUAAUCAGUUUUCUGUCACUGUUAUAAAAUACCUGAAGUUAUAAAUUUAAAAAGAGGAAAG
rnacentral:lncRNA from 1 species